rnacentral:lncRNA from 1 species
CUAUCCAAAGUUCAUGUAUGAAGACAUGAAAAAAAUAAAAAAAUUUUAGUCUUAAAAAAAAAAAAAAGACUAGCUUGGUUGCCAGCCUGUGGUGCCACUGGGAGACAGUGGCAUUUAGGUGGUGGAGCCCAGUGGAAGGAAGUCAUGGGGAUUGUGAAUUCUUGAAGGGGAUAUUGGAAUCCUGGUCCUUUCUUGUCUCUCUCAUUGCUUUCUGACUGCUAUUGCCUUCUAGGCCUCCUCUGCUACAUGCUCCUGCCAUGUUGUACUGUGAUGCUAUAGGCCCAAAGCAAUAGUGAUCAUGGACCUAAACUGAAACUGUGAGCCAAAAUAAAUCUUUCAUCCUUAUAUUUGAUUAAAAUCAAGUAUUAUGUAAUAGUGACAGAAAGGUGAGUAGACCUUUUAUUAAUUUUUAUUUGUUAAUCUUUAUGAAGGUUAAUUUAUAUUUUUUAUUGAUUACCUUUUAUUCAGUUUAAUUCUCUACUUUUUAAAAAAAUUCCAAAUGUUUACUCCUAUUUUACAAGUUAUGAUAAAGUGAAUAUAAAAAUUUUAAAUUUUCUCUGCAUUAAAGCAUAGGUUGUCCAUUGGUGUUCAAAUAUUCUUUCAAUUUUUAAUUUCAAUUCCUAGAUCAUCAGAGAUAUUACUUAAUUCUGUUUAUUUCACUUAUUGUAGUUAUGUGGACUGAAUUGUGUGUCCCUCCCAUCCAUAUGUUGAAUACCUAAUCCCAAUGUAACUGUAUUUGGAGGAAGGGCUUAUAAUGAUAUAAUAAAGGUUUAGAGGGUUCCUAAGGGUGGACUUUUCAUCUGAUAGGACUGUUACUAUAUAAGAAGAGGAAAAGACACUAGACGGUCUCUUUUUCUCUCCACAGGUGCACAGAAGGUCAAUUGAAGACAGGGAGACAGCAGUUGUCUACAUGCCAGGAGAGGGUGCUUACCACAAGCAAAAUUGUCCAAUUCCUUGGUAUUGGACUUUCAGCCUUCAGACCCAUGAGAAGAUAAAUUUAUGUUGCUUAAGCCACUCUAUUUAUGGUAUUUUAUUAUGGCAGCCUGGGAACACUAACACAAUAGUAAAUAUAAAACUUAUGAAGGUAAAAACCAAAGUGAGUUAUUGGGUUAACAUUCUUCAUUACAUCAUCUAGGGGUAAUUAAAUACAGUGACUUAGUGAUAAAUUAAAAAUAUUCAGAAGUGUUUCCAAAAUUUUAGCUGAAAUGCCAGACUUUCUCUCUAGCAUAGAGAUACCAGCACAGUCUGAACCAAAGGUUUCCAUGAACAUACUUCUCACUGAUGCUAUUUUUUCUCAAAUAUUCACAAUAAAGUCUAGUACAUUAUUUUAGAUAUUAUUCUUUUUAACACCACAAGAUUCAAAAAAUUUAAAAUUUCUAAUUUUAAAUUAAUUAUUAAAAUGCCUUAUAUGAAACAGUUUCAUAGAAGAUGAAUAUUUUACUGUCUCGAUUUAUAACUUGUCAAAUAAGUUGCUUUCUCAUUUUAGAAGAUAUAUGUUUUCCAACAAGUGGGACCAUAAAUUUGGAACACAGUGUAUGCUCAUAUAGAUAUAAUUAUUUUUUAAAGGCUAUUGAAUAUUUCAUGUUUGAAAAUGCUCUACUAUAUUUAAGCACUGGAUAGUUUUAACAUUUAUAAGGAUUCUUUCUUAAUAUUUUCAAUUGUUUUAUUAAAAACAAAUCUAGAUUUUAUUUUUUCAAAUGCAUUAUUAUAAAAAACUGAUCUUCUGAUUGCUUUUGUUAAUCUUUUGAUGGAUAAUUACAAUUUAAAAAAAAUCAAACCAUGGUUUUUGACAGAAUGUCACUGCCAUUCUGAUGAAUAUGUAAGUUGUAGAGGAAGAAUAUUUUUUUCAAACUUCAAGUUUUUAGUUAGAAGGGACCGCUAUCAUAAAAGACAGAUUUACAAGAGAAAAGCAGAAUUUUGUUAACAUGUAUAUUUAAUGUAUACAUGGAAGAUACUUAGACAAUGCAUAGUUCUAAGGUGGCUUUAAAUUUUUGCAUAUACAUACAAAUAUAUAUAUGUAUAUAUGAAUAUAAUCUUUCAUAAAAAAACAGUUAAUUAGAAAAGUGAUAAAAAAGGGAAAAGUACUUUGAAUCUCUAGGGGUGGUAACUUGAGGGAUGGCAAAUAAUGGCAGAUAAAGGCUAGUUAAUAAAGGCUAGUUGAUUCCUCUGGUUCCAUCUGUAAGCCAAUACAGGUCCAAAAUUGUCUCCUGUGGCCAACCUUUGUUUCCCCUGGUAGAAGAGGAGGUAGGCUUUUAUCUUCGUAAAUCUAUGUCCUGAUUUAGUCAGCUUUAUAUCACUGUGACCAAAAUACCCAACAAGAAAAUCUUACAGGAGGAAAAGUUUAUUUUGGCUCAUGGUUUCAGAGGUUUAGUGCCUGGUCAGCUAUCUCCAUUGCUCUGGGCCUGAGCAGAAGGCAGAACUUCAUGGCCGAAGGGCAAGGCAGAGGAAAGCAGCCCAGGACUUGACAGCCAGGAAGCAGAGAGGGAGCUCUGCUCACCAGGCACAAAAUAUAAACCCCAAAGGCACACUCCAAUGACCUUCAGCCACAGGGCACUACCUGCCUAUGGUUGCCAUCCAGUCAAUCCACGUUAGUUUAGGUUACAGCUCUUAUGUUGUAAUCAGUUCACUCCUGAACAUUCUUGCAUUGUCUCACACAUGAGAUUCUUGGGGGACACCUAAUAUCUAAACCAUGACACUGAUUUUAAGCAGUUGGAGGAAGGGAAGAGAGCUUUCCUGUAUCUGGUUCUUAAUUGCCUUCAGCUCAGAAAUUCUUCAUAUUUUGGGGUGGGUGACAUAUUCUGGUUUCUCAUGAAGUCUUUUAAUGAUGAACUCUGAGUACCAUUUACCUCCAAAGUAGCACGGUGGUAUAUUUUUGUUAAAAUAAUAAAAUUAUUAUUAUAGAAAUAAAAAGUAUUGUAUUAUUUUGUAAAUUUCUUGUAGUGUAAAAGGUGUUCCAGUCACUGAAGAUCCUUUAGGCUGAAGUUUAUUAUUAAUAUCACUGCUUAUUCUCUGUAGACUCAGAUACUUGAGGUAUAUGAUAUUUAAUGGAAAAUUAAUAAAUGUAUCCACUAUUGAUUAUCUCUUUAUUCUGA